ACUCCAUUCGCUUCUCCAGACUCUGUGCCCUUUUUUUAUCCUUCUCUAUUUACUCACCAUAUCGGGGUCUCAUCGUGUUCGUACGUCGCCGCUGAGUUCUCGUUGGAUUUAUCCUUCGUCGUUCUCCGUUCAAAUGUUCAAAUGGUAGAUUAAAUUUAUAGUUUAGCUGAGAUUUUCGGAAUCGUGUGCAUUGUUUAUGCGUCUUCAAGGUGCUUUCGUUUCCUCGCAGGAGCGAUUUUGGCGUUGCUUAUGACGCAUGGAGGUGAAGACGCAGUUGAUGACAUAGGUUUCUAAGGAAGCUGGUUUUGGGAGGAGCUUAUUUGAAAGAUUGAGUUCGUUAGGUUACUAAAAGUCUCUCCUAAACGUGCAGCACAGGAUGCACCCGGAAAUAAGUUCUUUCCCAAUUUCUCAUUUCUAUUGCAACAAAAUUCAGGAUGCACCAAAUGUGGAAAACAUGACUAUGGAAGACAUACCUCCCAGGACCAAUGUUUGGUCCUUGGUCCUUAUUCCUUUAUAAAUGUAGUUGGAGGUAAAGAACAAUUUGAUGAUGAAGGAAGGAGCUACAAAAAUUUAAUAGAGGUCGCAGUUGUCAUGACAAUACUGAACAAUAUGCACAAGGGUUUGUCUUCUAUUAAUACCUUCGACAAUAAUUUCUAAGAUCUUUUUAUUGCCUUUUUAUUAUUCUUUUUGUCUUUGGUGCUAGACCUUAGAUGGCAAUGCAAUAACCCGUCCUUUUAGAAAAAACAUCUUCUAUAUUUUAGUUUGCAUUUCUUUAUUUGACAGAAGUUCUGAAUAAAGGAUUUAGAUGGUUUAUUCCAUCGUUAUAUUUGAUUACCGAUUUCUAACUACGAAAUUAUACUUGUCCUGGUAGUAUUAACUAAAAUUAAUAAUUUGAUUCACCUUAGUGUGAAAAGAUUAACUUUAUUAUUUUCACUUGUAUAUUCACUGAUUCAUGUAAACAGAAACAGAAAACAGAAAGACAGUGCUUUUACAAUCCAUGCUGUCUGAAUUUGAAUAAAGGGCUACCUUUUCUUUGAAGCAACAUGGCUGACAUCAAAACAUGAAUUCAACAUCGGUAUUGUGACUUCCUAUGCUGGCCAAGUUGCUGCAAUUCAAGAGAAACUUGGAAAGAUUUAUGAAAGUGAUGAUAGAUUUAAUGUCGUUGUGAGUUCUGUUGAUGGUUUUCAAGGAGGGGAGAAGGAUAAUAUCAUGUUAUCAACUAUAAGAACAAGCAGUAGAUCAUCUCUUGAGUUCAUUUCCUCUCCGCAGAGGACUAAUGUUGCUCUUACAAGGGCUAGGCACUGCUUGUGGAUUUUGGGAAAUGAACGGGCGAUUACAAACAAUGAAAAUGUUUGGAAGGCUACGGUGCUUGAUGCCAAGAACCGUAAGUGCUUCUUUAACGCUGACCAAGACGUGGAAAUGGCGAAAGCUAUAUUGGAUUCCAAGAAAAAGGCAUAUUAGUUUGAUGAUUUGCUUGAUACAAAUAGUGUCCUGUUCAGGAGCAAAUUAUGGAAGGUAUAUUAUCCUGGACUUAUUUUUUAUACUCGUUCUUUUAUUAACUUCUGAUUGUUCACUAAUACUUCUACAGUUCUCACAUUUUUCUUCUUGGAUUGCACUGGUAAUGAGUUGUUAGCAACUUAUCCAAUGUUUAUUUUCAUAAUUAUAUCUUACUGCACAAAAGCAUUUCCUGAAGUAAUCAAUGUUUGAUAUUUGAUAACUCAUUAAAAGAUUGUUGAAAUAAAUCCCUGUUAUUUAGUCCAAGUUGGAAUUGCUGCCAAUGUACGUAUCUGCAGGUUUAUUUUAGUGAUUCAUGAGGUCAUUCAAACGGCUAAAAUCUGAAGUGACUAAGAGAAUAGGGUUAUCAACCUUCUUGAAAGGCUUUCCGAUGGAUGGAGGCCCAAAUGGAUUAAUGUGGAUUUGUGUUGUGAAACAUCAGCUCAGAUUUUGAAGAAGUUUAAGGUUGAAAAUAACUAUGUUAUUUGUUCAAGAGAAAUAGUCAAAGGUUCAAGAUAUAUUCAGGUUUUGAAGAUACGGGGAAGGUGGAUUCGGCCCAGUUUACAAGGUCUGCUGCUUACAGAUACUUGCAUUUCACCUUCAGAAACUUCAAUCCAACUGAUUCAUAUAUCUGGUUUGAAUUGUAUGGACCACCAUCAGAUCGGGAUGUUAAUCUAAUCGGUAAUGUAAGUGUAUAUUUUUAACUUUUAGACUUUUAGCUUUAAUAUGUAGUUAUAUUUAUUCAUAAAAUUUAUCAUCAGUUCGGGAUAUGAAAGUGCUCCUUGUAAAUUAUAAGGACUACACACUGAAGUUUUGAGAGUAGCAGAGUGUGACUCUUGCAGCAUAAAAUGAAAGUAGAGACAUGCAAGGAUUACACAAUAAUCGUAAACUUUGUGGCCAAAUUAUGCGUGCAAUGGGUUAGGUGGCAUGAUGUCUGUUGCUAUAUUUAAGCAUGAAGGGAAUAUAGUUUUAAAGAACACUCUUAAUUGCAAAUAUGUACUAUCUCUAAUAGAAAUUUAAUAGUUGUGAUCAAUCAUUUUUCUUUUUUUCCUUGAUUAUUGUUUUUUGAUCAUAGGUUGUACUAUAUGAAGUGAAGAUGAGCUCAAAUAGACUUUAAAUAAACUCUUCCUAACUGAUAUUAAUUUGAUCAUGGCUUAGGAAUGUGAGUUCAUGAUUGUGGCUUGA